rnacentral:rRNA from 1 species
UGGGGAAUUUUGGACAAUGGGCGAAAGCCUGAUCCAGCCAUGCCGCGUGCAGGAUGAAGGCCUUCGGGUUGUAAACUGCUUUUGUACGGAACGAAAAGACUCCUUCUAAUAAAGGGGGUCCAUGACGGUACCGUAAGAAUAAGCACCGGCUAACUACGUGCCAGCAGCCGCGGUAAUACGUAGGGUGCAAGCGUUAAUCGGAAUUACUGGGCGUAAAGCGUGCGCAGGCGGUUAUAUAAGACAGAUGUGAAAUCCCCGGGCUCAACCUGGGAACUGCAUUUGUGACUGUAUAGCUAGAGUACGGUAGAGGGGGAUGGAAUUCCGCGUGUAGCAGUGAAAUGCGUAGAUAUGCGGAGGAACACCGAUGGCGAAGGCAAUCCCCUGGACCUGUACUGACGCUCAUGCACGAAAGCGUGGGGAGCAAACGGGAUUAGAUACCCAAGUAGUCCCUGAGCGGGCUGGCAAGGCGCAU